GAUGAACGCUGGCGGCGUGCCUAAUACAUGCAAGUAGAACGCUGAAGGAGGAGCUUGCUCUUCUGGAUGAGUUGCGAACGGGUGAGUAACGCGUAGGUAACCUGCCUGGUAGCGGGGGAUAACUAUUGGAAACGAUAGCUAAUACCGCAUGACAACAGUUAUUGCAUGAUAACUGUUUAAAAGGGGCAACUGCUCCACUACCAGAUGGACCUGCGUUGUAUUAGCUAGUUGGUGAGGUAACGGCUCACCAAGGCGACGAUACAUAGCCGACCUGAGAGGGUGAUCGGCCACACUGGGACUGAGACACGGCCCAGACUCCUACGGGAGGCAGCAGUAGGGAAUCUUCGGCAAUGGACGGAAGUCUGACCGAGCAACGCCGCGUGAGUGAAGAAGGUUUUCGGAUCGUAAAGCUCUGUUGUAAGAGAAGAACGAGUGUGAGAGUGGAAAGUUCACACUGUGACAGUAUCUUACCAGAAAGGGACGGCUAACUACGUG
rnacentral:rRNA from 1 species